UCUCCGUUUUGCGGAGCGGUCUCGCCAGAGAUAUUUAACUGACGACAAGGGUUGCGCUCGUUGCGGGACUUAACCCAACACCUCACGGCACGAGCUGACGACAGCCAUGCAACAAGUGUGCUAGCUCGGGACUGAACCCGUCGUUCCCUUUUGGGGUUCUACUACUAGCAUUUCAAGCCCAGGUAAGGUUCUUCGCUUAGCAUCGAAUUAAACCACACGCUCCGCUGCUUGUGCGGGCCCCCGUCAAUUCUUUUGAGUUUUAGCCUUGCGGCCGUACUCCCCAGGCGGGAUACUUAACGCGUUAGCUUCGGCACAGAGGGGGUCGAUACCCCCCAUACCUAGUAUCCAUCGUUUACGGCGUGGACUAC
rnacentral:misc_RNA from 1 species